CAUGAUUACUGACGACCUGUGAACACAGAGCCGCCUGAAGAGGACCGACUCCACACGGAAGCAACACAACAGCCCAAACCUGUGAUCCAGUUGGAACCGACAUGCCACGUUCAACGAGUCCAGAAGGCUGAGCCCUGUGUCCGGCUGCUGGGAGGCGAGGAGCUUCCAGGCGGUCUCUUCGGGAGCUGCUGGACGAGAUGCCGGCUCAUGUCUCCUGUCCUCAGACUCCAGAGGACGUCCAUUCAUGCUGGAGGUCCAGCGGUUGUGGAGACGUCCUCCUCAAUGUUGUCUGUUCAUUGGUUUUGUUUCAAUGUUCUCCAUCCAGUUAGGAGUUUGGUUUAAAAGCAUAAUUUCAUAUACUGCCGGGUUCUGUUACUUACUUUCCUAUUUUUGCCAAUGAAAAUCUUGUAAAUAGAAAUGAUGCAUUGCUUUAGUUGUAUUAUUUAGAGUGAAGAUAUAUGUUGGUAUUUGUUACUGAUGGUUGCCAACUGAUAUGACACGUUUUGCCAUGUAGGAUUUUUUGUACGAUAAAAUAUCUUUGUGGUCAUUAAAUGACAUGUCAUGGCAACAGGGUCACUACAGUACUUAUUCAGUGGUACCUGUACCAGCUUGU